rnacentral:rRNA from 1 species
GGAGGGUGCAAGCGUUGUUCGGAAUUAUUGGGCGUAAAGAGCGUGUAGGCGGUCCGGUAAGUCAGAUGUGAAAGCCCUGGGCUCAACCCAGGAAGUGCAUUUGAAACUACCAGACUUGAGUACGGGAGAGGAGGGGGGAAUUCCCGGUGUAGAGGUGAAAUUCGUAGAUAUCGGGAGGAAUACCAGUGGCGAAGGCGCCCUCUGGACCGAUACUGACGCUGAGACGCGAAAGCGUGGGGAGCAAACAGGAUUAGAUACCCUGGUAGUCCACGCCGUAAACGAUGAGCACUAGGUGUAGCGGGUAUUGAUCCCUGCUGUGCCGUAGCUAACGCAUUAAGUGCUCCGCCUGGGGACUACGGUCGCAAGACUA